rnacentral:lncRNA from 1 species
CUGAUAGUAGGAUGAGGCUGAAGAGUGUAGGCUGAGUGCAGGAGCUGUAGGUGUCCAGCAUACUGAGUUUCUCAUGGAGAUCCAGAAAGGAACCACACACUGAAGACCUCCAAAAAAGUCAGAUUGCACAUGUCAUGAUGGGAACAGAAGGCCAUGUUCAUCUCCACAUUAUUACUCCUUUGGAAAAAGAUUUUAAAAAAUAGACUGAAGAAUUAAAGGAUUUCUUUGGAGAAAUAGAGUCUGUGUUGCUCUGAACUAGAAUACCUGCUUAAUACCCUUGAGGUAACUGUUNNNNNNNNNNUUAUUAUUAUUAUUAUUAUUAUUAUUAUUAUUAUUAUUAUUAUUAUUAUU